rnacentral:rRNA from 1 species
UACGGAGGGGGCUAGCGUUGUUCGGAAUUACUGGGCGUAAAGCGCGCGUAGGCGGCUUUGUAAGUUAGAGGUGAAAGCCCGGAGCUUAACUCCGGAACUGCCUUUAAGACUGCAUUGCUAGAAUCGUGGAGAGGUGAGUGGAAUUCCGAGUGUAGAGGUGAAAUUCGUAGAUAUUCGGAAGAACACCAGUGGCGAAGGCGACUCACUGGACACGUAUUGACGCUGAGGUGCGAAAGCGUGGGGAGCAAACAGG